rnacentral:rRNA from 1 species
UGGGGAAUUUUGCACAAUGGGGGAAACCCUGAUGCAGCGACGCCGCGUGAUUUAGAAGGCCUUCGGGUUGUAAAAAUCUUUUUUACGGGAUGAAAAUGACAGUACCGUAAGAAUAAGGUCCGGCUAAAUACGUGCCAGCAGCCGCGGUAAUACGUAUGGACCGAGCGUUGUCCGGAAUCAUUGGGCGUAAAGGGUACGUAGGCGGCCUAGUAAGUUAGAAGUGAAAUAAUAUAGCUCAACUAUAUAAAGCUUUUAAAACUGCUAGGCUUGAGAGAUGGCAGGGAAGGUGGAAUUCCUAGUGUAGCGGUGAAAUGCGCAGAUAUUAGGAAGAAUACCGGUGGCGAAGGCGACUUUCUGGUCAUCAUCUGACGCUGAGGUACGAAAGCGUGGGUAGCAAGCAGG